rnacentral:rRNA from 1 species
UACAGAGGGGGCCAGCGUUAUUCGGAAUUAUUGGGCGUAAAGGGCGCGUAGGCGGCUUUGCGUGUCUUUCGUGAAAUCCCUCGGCUCAACUGAGGACGUGCGGAAGAAACUGCAGGGCUGGAGUCCGGGAGAGGAGGGUGGAAUUCCCGGUGUAGUGGUGAAAUGCGUAGAUAUCGGGAGGAACACCAGUGGCGAAGGCGACUACGUGGCCCGGUACUGACGCUGAGGUGCGAAAGCGUGGGGAGCAAACAGG